rnacentral:rRNA from 1 species
UUAAGUCCCGCAACGAGCGCAACCCUUAUCCUUUGUUGCCAGCACGUUAUGGUGGGAACUCAAAGGAGACUGCCGGUGAUAAACCGGAGGAAGGUGGGGAUGACGUCAAGUCAUCAUGGCCCUUACGAGUAGGGCUACACACGUGCUACAAUGGCGUAUACAAAGAGAAGCGACCUCGCGAGAGCAAGCGGAACUCAUAAAGUACGUCGUAGUCCGGAUUGGAGUCUGCAACUCGACUCCAUGAAGUCGGAAUCGCUAGUAAUCGUAGAUCAGAAUGCUACGGUGAAUACGUUCCCGGGCCUUGUACACACCGCCCGUCACACCAUGGGAGUGGGUUGCAAAAGAAGUAGGUAGCUUAACCUUCGGGAGGGCGCUUACCACUUUGUGAUUCAUGACUGGGGUGAAGUCGUAACAAGGUAACCA